ACCAGAUAUUGUCCUGAAACUCCAUGGAAGUUAUCAGCUGUGGUUCAGGAAAAUGCAGAAUUAAGAAUUCAGGAAUACACCCCAGGAGAAGCAAAACUCACAUUCUGUCCUCUCCCUCAAGAUGCAAAAGCAGGAAUUUCCCCAUACAGUCAAUUUCCUCCUUUCUGUCAAAGGAGGUUUCCCAUACUCAUUAAUUGUGAAGCAAAACAAUAGUAAGCAAGAUAGAGAAAGAAC